rnacentral:rRNA from 1 species
UACGUAGGGUGCGAGCGUUAAUCGGAAUUACUGGGCGUAAAGCGUGCGCAGGCGGCUUACUAAGACAGGUGUGAAAGCCCCGAGCUUAACUUGGGAAUUGCGCUUGUGACUGGCGAGCUGGAGUGUGGCAGAGGGAGGUGGAAUUCCACGUGUAGCAGUGAAAUGCGUAGAGAUGUGGAGGAACACCGAUGGCGAAGGCAGCCUCCUGGGCCAGCACUGACGCUCAUGCACGAAAGCGUGGGGAGCAAACAGG